rnacentral:sRNA from 1 species
AACACAAGUCUACCCGUCCGCCAGAGCGAC